rnacentral:rRNA from 1 species
GACGAACGCUGGCGGCGUGCUUAACACAUGCAAGUCGAACGGAAAGGCCCUGCUUUUGUGGGGCGCUCGAGUGGCGAACGGGUGAGUAACACGUGAGUAACCUGCCCUUGACUUUGGGAUAACUUCAGGAAACUGGGGCUAAUACCGGAUAGGAGCUCCUGCUGCAUGGUGGGGGAUGGAAAGUUUCGGCGGUUGGGGAUGGACUCGCGGCUUAUCAGCUUGUUGGUGGGGUAGUGGCUUACCAAGGCUUUGACGGGUAGCCGGCCUGAGAGGGUGACCGGCCACAUUAGGACUAAGAUACGGCCCAGACUCCUACGGGAGGCAGCAGUGGGGAAUAUUGCACAAUGGGCGGAAGCCUGAGGCGGCAACGCCGCGUGCGGAAUGACGGCCUUCGGGUUGUGAACCGCUUUCGCCUGUGACGAAGCGUGAGUGACGGUAAUGGGUAAAGAAGCACCGGCUAACUACGUG